UCCAGACUCCUACGGGAGGCAGCAGUGGGGGAUAUUGCACAAUGGGGGAAACCCUGAUGCAGCGACGCCGCGUGAGUGAAGAAGUAUUUCGGUAUGUAAAGCUCUAUCAGCAGGGAAGAAAAAAGACGGUACCUGACUAAGAAGCCCCGGCUAACUACGUGCCAGCAGCCGCGGUAAUACGUAGGGGGCAAGCGUUAUCCGGAUUUACUGGGUGUAAAGGGAGCGUAGACGGCAAUACAAGUCGGAAGUGAAAUACCCGGGCUCAACCUGGGAACUGCUUUGGAAACUGUAUGGCUGGAGUGCUGGAGAGGUAAGCGGAAUUCCUAGUGUAGCGGUGAAAUGCGUAGAUAUUAGGAGGAACACCAGUGGCGAAGGCGGCUUACUGGACAGUAACUGACGUUGAGGCUCGAAAGCGUGGGGAGCAAACAGGAUUAGAUACCCCCGUA
rnacentral:rRNA from 1 species